rnacentral:rRNA from 1 species
UGGGGAAUCUUCCGCAAUGGGCGAAAGCCUGACGGAGCAACGCCGCGUGAGUGAAGACGGCCUUCGGGUUGUAAAACUCUGUGAUUCGGGACGAAAGAUAAGCAGACGAAUAAUCUGCAUAAGUGACGGUACCGAAAAAGCAAGCCACGGCUAACUACGUGCCAGCAGCCGCGGUAAUACGUAGGUGGCAAGCGUUGUCCGGAAUUAUUGGGCGUAAAGCGCGCGCAGGCGGCUACUUAAGUCCAUCUUAAAAGUGCGGGGCUUAACCCCGUGAUGGGAUGGAAACUGAGAAGCUGGAGUGUCGGAGAGGAAAGUGGAACUCCUAGUGUAGCGGUGAAAUGCGUAGAGAUUAGGAAGAACACCGGUGGCGAAGGCGACUUUCUGGACGACAACUGACGCUUAGGCGCGAAAGCGUGGGGAGCAAACAGG